rnacentral:lncRNA from 1 species
GUUUGGUACAAUCUGGUUCACAUCAUAAUGGUUCUUUUGCCAACAGGAGCUGGUAAUCAGGAUGGCAGUGAGGCAGGCACUUGCUUGCAGAAGAACAGGCCUAGUUUUUUAAGAAGCCACAAAAGUGUCUUUGGAUGAUUAGGAUCUAAGGGGCCAACAGCUUUGCAAUAACAGCAUAAAUAUUGUGGGCUGGAUGGACAGGCACCAAAUGGGGACAUUCCAUCCUGCUGUGUGAUGAGAAAGCUGCCACUUUUGAGGCCUUCCAAAACAAAUCAACACUCCAUAUGCCAGAAGGAAAAGCCCAGGAAAGACCUAUUCCAACUGGAGAUGGUGAAUGUCAUUUCUUCAAGAAGCUGAGAUCCAGCUGGUACUGCCAGGUGGAGAGUGAGUUGGGUAGCUGACCUCGGGCAUGGCAGCCUUGGUUUUUGGCCACUUCAUGGGGUGACCUGUUGAGCAAACAGCAGUGGAAUUCUGCAGCUGUGGACCAAGAUGAAUACGAAGGGAGAAUGAAACAAAACUGCUCCGCUUAGGGAACUUGGAAAGGAAAUUGAAAAGGCAAGGCACAGGCUGGAAGAAAAUAUUUGAAAAAGAUUUAUGUGAACUUCUUUCUGGAUUAUACAAAAUAUUUUUAGAUAUUCUUACAACUCUAAAAUAAGAUAACUCCUUAAAAAUCUAAAUUCUACCAAAGGAGAGAUAAAGAUGACGAAUACAUUCAAAGAUGCUGAAAAUCACUUAUUUAUUAUUAGGAAGUUACAAGCUAAAGCAUAAUGAGAUACCACUACAACCUACUAAACUGACUAAAAUUAAUCAGACUAACCAGGUGUUGGCAAGAAACAGGGACACUGAGACUCUCACACUGCUGGAAGGAAUGUAAAAUGCUAAAACUUCUUUGGAAAUGAGUUCAGUAACUUUUUAAACAGUUGAAAAUAGACCUAUCAUGCAAACCAGCAAUCCCACUUCCAGGUAUUUAUACAAGGAAAAUGACAACAUAUGCCCACAUAAAGACUUGUGCACAAAUGACCGUAGCAGCUUUGUGAUAAUUGCUAAAAACUAGAAACUUGUCAAGUGUCCAACAGUUGACAUGCAGGCUGGACAUACAGUGGGCCUCGAUUGCUUAGAAGCCAAACUGAACUCACCAAGAAAAGAAGACAGGAGAAACUUCUCAAGAGGAAUAUCUCCAAAUUGCAGGAUCGAAUACCAUAAGAGGAAUUCUGGACUGAAGAGUUAUGAAGUCAUUUCAGACACUUCCAGACAAUUUGUGUUAAUUAAAUUCUCACUGGUUGAGUUCCAUUCUACACUGGAAGAGCAUUUUUCCUGGAAAGGCUCCUCAAAAUGGACACCAUCAAGAGUCACCUCCUCAGUGAAGCCUUCCAUGGUUUCAUACCACCCAUCCCUAUCGGAAUGAAUGUAUCCUUGUUCUCCGUUAUCCCAGUAUUUUGCCUGGGCUUCUGUCACACUACUUUCAAUGUCUAUACCUCAGUUAUCGAAUCGAAAAACAAGAGUCAUCAGUCUCUAAGGUCCUUGCAAGCUUCAAAACUUUAUAUUUUUGUCAAUUACAACUGAAUAAAGCUGAACAACUUAUUAUUUAUGGAUACUUGCUCAAGCACCAUAUAACUCUUUCAGAUAUUUUAAAAGAAUAUGUUUGCAAAAGACUCCAAAUCAAUGUAUUAAAUUGAAAUCCAGUAUCAAAACACCCAUUAAAGUGCUCUUUUGAAAUUGUACAUUUUAUAUCAAUAAAAUUUCAAAAUAUAAAAACCUCUAUUUUACUUGUUGAAUUCUUAGGAAUAAUAACUAAACAGUUUUAAAAUAUUAGUAGAAAGAUGGUGUCUUUGAAAUAA